rfam:Aedes albopictus isolate Foshan contig7773, whole genome shotgun sequence.
UAGCUUUGUGGUUAAGGCUUUGGAUCGCCAAUCCGGAGACGGCGGGUUCGAUUCCCGU